CUGAGAAAAAAAUUAUAGUAACAUUAAUAAUUCAACCAUGUUUAAUUUUACCAUGCCCAAAAAUAGUUAUGACAAACAUAAUAUCAGUGAUGACUACUAUGUUUUCCUUGCAAUUACUAUGCCUUUAAGAUCAUGCGCAUGGUAAUCAGUACCAUCAAACGUGGUUAUCUUAAUAACGAUGUUCGUGAUUCUCAGAACCAUGUUCAUGUUCCCUACUAAUAUUCUCAUGUUUAGUGUUACUAUCUCCGAAAGUUGUUUUCAUUAUAAGCGAUUUCCGCAGACAUUUUUUCUCAAUAAGUUGUUUGCGACGUAGUUUGUUUCAGUACAUUAUUUUGUAAUAGAGACGUAGUUUUUUGGUAAAUUACUGGAACAACAGUAACUCGACCAACGAUGUUUCCACCUACAGGAGGUUACCGGAUUCUAAGCCUUCAGGACUUCCGGCAGAAAAUCCAAAAGCUUCGUCGCCACUGCUGUUUUUCCGAAACAGACUUCAUAGAGUCUAGGAGUAGGCCAACAAAAAGCUGGUCCCAAGGAGAAGAAUGAUAUGGAACUAUAAAAACGGGAAAGAGGCAAAAAGCUUCAUAAAACCGCUCGUUUCCGAAGGAACCACAUCCGGAAUCCCUUUUGUAUGCAUGAUAAAGAACCGUAAUGGAUUGAACCGGAUAAAUAAGAUGUUUCGUUCGA